rnacentral:lncRNA from 1 species
CAGGAAGACAAAAUACUAACCAAUGAGGGGAAAAUAUGCAAAAGACAAAACAAGGGACUCAUGGGUUCUCACCAUGACUGCAAGUUACGUGCUAAACUUGGGUUGCUAACACCACAGCUGGUUGCUUGUGUUUUCCUCAGGAGACAGUGGUUGAAAUCACCUGUACCCCCGCAAUUAACCAGCAUCUAAGCAGUAAUCUAGGCAGGAAAUGGAGACUAUCUAUCGAGACGGACACGGCUGUAACUCUCAGGAUCGAGCAAAGAGGGGCACCGGCACAUCCGUCCUGCACGGACCCAGCACCGCAUCCCGCCGCUCAGGGAGCCGCACCGCCGCAGCCAGGCUGAAACAGGUCAUCCUCACCACCACUGAUCCU